UCUCCGUUGGUGAACCAGCGGGGGGAUCAUUACCGAGUUUACAACUCCCAAACCCCUGUGAACAUACCAUUUGUUGCCUCGGCGGUGCCUGCUUCGGCAGCCCGCCAGAGGACCCAAACCCUUGAUUUUAUACAGUAUCUUCUGAGUAAAUGAUUAAAUAAAUCAAAACUUUCAACAACGGAUCUCUUGGUUCUG
rnacentral:misc_RNA from 1 species